AUUGAACGCUGGCGGCAUGCCUUACACAUGCAAGUCGAACGGUAACAGGUCUUCGGAUGCUGACGAGUGGCGAACGGGUGAGUAAUACAUCGGAACGUGCCUAGUAGUGGGGGAUAACUACUCGAAAGAGUGGCUAAUACCGCAUGAGAUCUACGGAUGAAAGCAGGGGAUCGCAAGACCUUGUGCUACUAGAGCGGCCGAUGGCAGAUUAGGUAGUUGGUGGGAUAAAAGCUUACCAAGCCGACGAUCUGUAGCUGGUCUGAGAGGACGAUCAGCCACACUGGGACUGCGACACGGCCCAGACUCCUACGGGAGGCAGCAGUGGGGAAUUUUGGACAAUGGGCGAAAGCAUGAUCCAGCAAUGCCGCGUGCAGGAUGAAGGCCUUCGGGUUGUAAACUGCUUUUGUACGGAACGAAAAGCCCUGGGUUAAUACCCUGGGGUCAUGACGGUACCGUAAGAAUAAGCACCGGCUAACUACGUGCCAGCCGCCGCCGUAA
rnacentral:rRNA from 1 species